rnacentral:rRNA from 1 species
AUGCAUGUCUAAGUAUAAGCAAUUAUACAGCGAAACUGCGAAUGGCUCAUUAAAUCAGUUAUCGUUUAUUUGAUAGUACCUAUUUACAUGGAUAACCGUGGUAAUUCUAGGGCUAAUACAUGCUAAAGCCUCGACUUCGGAAGAGGCGUAUUUAUUAGAUCCAAAACCAAUGCCCUCCGGGGCUUAGUGGUGAUUCAUGAUAACUUCGCGGAUCGCACGGCCUUGCGCCGGCGAUGGUUCAUUCAAAUUUCUGCCCUAUCAACUUUCGAUGGCUGGGUAGUGGCCAGCCAUGGUGACAACGGGUAACGGAGGGUUAGGGCUCGACCCCGGAGAAGGAGCCGGAGGAACGGCUACUACAUCCAAGGAAGGCAGCAGGCGCGCAAAUUACCCAAUCCCGACACGGGGAGGUAGUGACAAUAAAUACUGAUACAGGGCUCUUUUGGGUCUUGUAAUUGGAAUGAGUACAAUUUUAAAUCCCUUAANNNNNNNNNNNNNNNNNNNNNNNNNNNNNNNNNNNNNNNNNNNNNNCAGCUCCAAUAGCGUAUAUUAAUGCUGCUGAGGUUAAAAAGCUCGUAGUUGGACCUUGGGCCCAGCCGGCCGGUCCGCCUCGCGGCGUGCACUGGUCUGGCCGGGCCUUUCCUCCCGGGGACCCUCAUGCCCUUCAGUGGGUGUGCUGGGGAGCCGGGACGUUUACUCUGAACAAAUUAGAUCGCUCAAAGAAGGCUUAUGCUCGAAUAUACUAGCAUGGAAUAAUAGAAUAGGACGUGUGGUUCUAUUUUGUUGGUUUCUAGGACCGCCGUAAUGGUUAAUAGGGACAGUCGGGGGCAUCCGUAUUCAAUUGUCAGAGGUGAAAUUCUUGGAUUUAUUGAGGACGAACUACUGCGAAAGCAUUUGUCAAGGAUGUUUUCAUUAAUCAGGAACGAAAGUUAGGGGAUCGAAGACGAUUAGAUACCGUCGUAGUCUUAACCAUAAACUAUGCCGAUUAGGGAU